UUCGUGUACAAACAUUUUUUAGGUAAAAGUUCAAACAGUAUCUGUGAAAGUUAACUUUCGCAAUUUGGUAAACUGUGUUCUGAUUGGUCAAUUCAAAAGGUUAGCAGAUGCGACCUUCUACAAGGGGUUGUUAGACUCAGAAUAGCAGUGUAACGACUAAUACUGAGCAGAAGUUUACUUAGACUGACCAUAAAGACUUUGCAGUACACCAUGAAGACUCUAGAGCACACCAUGCAUACAUGUCUUCGAAUAUACUCAGAAUCGUGAGAGAUGCAGCUUGGCUUUUUUUACCAUUUGGUCAAAAAAAGCUAUACAGCUAAUAUAGGAACAAGAUAACAUUUGUUUUGUAAAGGAUUACUGGAAAAACAAGUCCUGGUUAGAGAAAGGGUGUACAAAAGAGACUGCAGUCAAGGUCACUGACUUCUUAGAAAACACCUUCAUUGCCACAAUAACUACAAUCCUUCAAAAUGUAAUGCAAUGCUAAGGUUUGACACCCCAUACCUCAAAUCCUUCCAUAUGUACUCACUGUUUCACAGAAACUUGCUAAUGACUAAGAGUCAUAUCUAAAAUUAACACAGCAGGCAAUACUCAACAUGUGCUGACAUUUUU